rnacentral:rRNA from 1 species
UAAUACGUAGGGUGCAAGCGUUAAUCGGAAUUACUGGGCGUAAAGCGUGCGCAGGCGGUUGUGUAAGACAGGUGUGAAAUCCCCGGGCUUAACCUGGGAAUUGCAUUUGUGACUGCACGACUAGAGUGCGUCAGAGGGGGGUGGAAUUCCACGUGUAGCAGUGAAAUGCGUAGAUAUGUGGAGGAACACCAAUGGCGAAGGCAGCCCCCUGGGAUGACACUGACGCUCAUGCACGAAAGCGUGGGGAGCAAACAGG